rnacentral:tRNA from 1 species
GGUAUUACGCCGGGAUUGAACGGAAAUCAUUGAUGUUGAUUAUUACGGGAGUUACACCUCUUUAAUACUA